CCCUUCAGUGCUGCAGCUAACGCAUUAAGCACUCCGCCUGGGGAGUACGACCGCAAGGUUGAAACUCAAAGGAAUUGACGGGGGCCCGCACAAGCGGUGGAGCAUGUGGUUUAAUUCGAAGCAACGCGAAGAACCUUACCAGGUCUUGACAUCCUUUGACCACUCUAGAGAUAGAGCUUCCCCUUCGGGGGCAAAGUGACAGGUGGUGCAUGGUUGUCGUCAGCUCGUGUCGUGAGAUGUUGGGUUAAGUCCCGCAACGAGCGCAACCCUUAUUGUUAGUUGCCAUCAUUCAGUUGGGCACUCUAGCAAGACUGCCGGUGACAAACCGGAGGAAGGUGGGGAUGACGUCAAAUCAUCAUGCCCCUUAUGACCUGGGCUACACACGUGCUACAAUGGGAAGUACAACGAGUUGCGAAGUCGCGAGGCUAAGCUAAUCUCUUAAAGCUUCUCUCAGUUCGGAUUGCAGGCUGCAACUCGCCUGCAUGAAGCCGGAAUCGCUAGUAAUCGCGGAUCAGCACGCCGCGGUGAAUACGUUCCCGGGCCUUGUACACACCGCCCGUCACACCACGAGAGUUUGUAACACCCGAAGUCGGUGAGGUAACCUUUU
rnacentral:rRNA from 1 species